CUACUUUCUCAUCUCUCCUGAACAUUCUUAACUAUUUUCAAUUUUCUUCGAAUUUCUUCUGCAUCUUUGUGGUCUUCCCUAAAUUUCUCUCAAAGCUUUUCUAUUUUGGAAACUACGAUUCUCUUUCCCCUUCAGUGCUUUCAAGCAUCAAAUUUGUCGCUAGAAGAUUAAGUCUUGACAAUAUGAUGUCUUGCAGCAUGGAGAUCAUAACUCUUGGGGAUAAAAGGAUAGGCAUGAAAACAAGUGUCCUAGAGGAAAAGGAGACAACUUGUUAUAUGCUUUGAUUUGCUGCUAUGCUGCAUUGCUAAUGACUUGAAGGAAAGUUUCUACUCAUGAAUCAACCAGACUGAUAUUUAAUUUUUCCGUAUUUCAUAUGUGCUAUUGAGUGAAUCUCUUUUCUGAUGAGGAGUUAAGACAAGUGAUGUUAAUGCUUGAAAAAGGUGGUCCGACAUUAGUUCCACUUCUGAUAUUUUGUUUUUCUAUAACUUUUUCAAUUAUGAUUAUGACAUUGUGUAGUGGUUUAAAACCGUCCCGGAGUUGUUAUGAUAUGCCAAACUAAUUAGAGAAAGGAAUAUAGUGCGAGGCCUGAGACUUAUGUCAAGCAGUUUAUUCAGGUAUAUAAAAGAGAGUAUUGUUGAAACUGCUUUUUUUUUUUUGGGAUAAGGUAUUGGUGAACUUGAUUACUCAAAAUAAAGGAUAUUUGUAAUGCUCUACUUCGAAUCCUAAAUCAUGACGCUUUUGAGUGAAAAAAAUAUAUUGGAGAGGGCUUAAGUUUUCACUAUAUUAGUCUUCAUCCAUUCACACAGUCUUUUGUGCAUUUCACGAUCUAUAUGGUGAUAUAUAUUGAUCUAAAUCCUCAAUAUAUAUGUGCAUCUCUCUGCUUAAAAUGCUGCUAAUGUAACAUUUAUGAUGAAAUGAAUCUACCUACUUUUCAGGAUAUAAUAUAUGUUUCAAUGUCUUUGCAACCAACAAGGAACUCAGAACUCCAAUUUCACCUGUAUUACUUGAAGAUGCAGCAGAACUAUCAAUGAGCACUUACAAAUCUAAAGAACAAUACAAAAAUGCAUCUGGUGAAGAAGAAAAAAAGCUAAAUACCUAAAUGGUGUGGCAAAUGGCUUCUAAGCCAUUGAUGCGGAUGUGACUGUAAGGACUUGAUGUCACUGUUUGUGAUUCCAUACAUUUUAACUAUAAAUUUGAUAGAUGUAUGCUUUCUGGAGGUACUUAUUUUACACGUUCGAAGGAUAACAUGUUAAUUGCUAAGCUGGAGGCUAUAAUUUAUAGUUAUGGGCAAUAACAGACAGUCUUUGAUGUGCUUGAAGAUAUAGACAGUCUUCCAUGUUAAACUUUUUUGGUACUAAACAACCGGCCAUGGCCACAAUGUUGUAAUUCAAGGUCCAACUCGUGUGCAUGUUCUGUGGUGUAUGUUUGAUAAUAUUUGACAAUUCUUUUGUAGGACACAAUUCGAUUGGAACUAAUUCUUAUGACCUAAUUGCAUA